rnacentral:rRNA from 1 species
AGAUUGAACGCUAGCGGCAUGCCUAACACAUGCAAGUCGAACGGUAACAGGCCCUUCGGGGUGCUGACGAGUGGCGGACGGUGAGUAAUAGCGUAGGAAGUCUACCCACCGAGUGGGGGAGUAGCCCGGACGGAAAUACCGGAGUUAAUUAACCGCCAUAUGCCCUACCGGGGUAAAGGACGGGGGAGGUCGUAAGAACCUCCGCGCUGGUGGAGUGAGCCUACGUCCGAUUAGUUUAGUUGGUGGGGUAAAGGGACCUACCAAGGCGUACGAUCGGUAGCUGGUCGUGAGAGGACGAUCAGCCACACUGGGACUGAGACACGGCCCAGACUCCUACGGGAGGCAGC